rnacentral:rRNA from 1 species
UACGGAGGGUGCAAGCGUUAAUCGGAAUUACUGGGCGUAAAGGGUGCGUAGGUGGUUGAUUAAGUUAUCUGUGAAAUCCCUGGGCUUAACCUGGGCAGGUCAGAUGAUACUGAUUGACUCGAGUAUGGGAGAGGGUAGUGGAAUUUCCGGUGUAGCGGUGAAAUGCGUAGAGAUCGGAAGGAACACCAGUGGCGAAGGCGGCUACCUGGCCUAAUACUGACACUGAGGCACGAAAGCGUGGGGAGCAAACAGG